rnacentral:rRNA from 1 species
UACGGAGGGUGCAAGCGUUAUCCGGAUUCACUGGGCUUAAAGGGCGCGCAGGCGGAUUGGUAAGUCAGUGGUGAAAUACCUGAGCUUAACUCGGGAACUGCCAUUGAUACUACCGGUCUUGAAUAUUGUUGAGGUAUGCGGAAUGGGUCAUGUAGCGGUGAAAUGCAUAGAUAUGACCCGGAACACCAAUUGCGAAGGCAGCAUGCUAAACAAAGAUUGACGCUGAGGCUCGAAAGCGUGGGGAUCAAACAGG